AUGCACUCCGGGCACAGCCAAGGCCAGCGAAGGGCGAACGAGGGGCUCUGCAUCCCCAGAAUCGCGCCCGAGCACGGCUCCGUGCCGCAGGGCGGGAGCGCUCGGGGGCUGCCGGCCCAUCCCCGGCCCCGCCGCGCUGGGCUCCGGCCGGCUGUGGGUAACGGGGCACAAAGGGCAGCAAAAACACCAAAGCAGGAAAGCGACUCGGGAGGUAACCUGGGCGCCCCGUCCCAUCCAUCCCGCUCGCAGCCCCAGCCACGGCCGCCGGCCCCUCUCUCCCCACACCGCGCCGGCGGAGCCCCGACCCACCUGUGGGGACAGCGCCCGUACCCGGGGUGCCAACCUGCGGGAGCCUGGCGGGAGCGGCGCGCCCGGCCCGGAGCAGCCCCUCAGCCGCGGCGGGACGCGGGAUGCGGAGCUCGGCCCCUCAGCGCCCCUCAGCGCCCGGCUCCGCCCGGCCCGGCGGGGGCGGGCGGCGGGAGGGGCCCGGGCGGCCGCGCUCCUCCCGCCGGGGCGGCGGCACCGGCCCCGCUGCCGUCUGACCCGGGACAAAACUUUUCGGCAGCGGGGAAAAUGCCCGGGGGCCGGGGCUGUCCUGGCAAGGCUGGACCCCGUUUCACGCCGGCGGCUCCUCCAGCCGAGAGCGGCAUCGAGCCCUGCCCAGAACGCCCCGGAGCCGGGAGAGCGGCCCCCGGCACAGCCCCGGCUGACCUGUUCCCGCCGCAGCCCGUUCGCUCCUCUCCGGGCCCUGUCCCGGGAUGCGCCCGGCUGGGAACGGGCCGCCUCGCUCGGCUGCUCCCGGCAGCUGAGGCAGCACAAAGCCCCGCGCCUGUGGCAAAACCGGCCCGAGAAGCCCUUGCUCUUUUUAAACAUCCUGUUGAAGAGUUGAAUUCAGAGCUCCCUGGAGGGAUUCAGUAUCCAUCACAACAUUGCCUGGUAAGAAGGAUAAACCACCUGCUCAUGCCCCUUCACUGCUGCUCUGGCUCUUCAUCCUUAGCACCUUGUUCAUCCUGCAUGGAGCUACUUACACAUUACAGCUGCUGCAUCCCUUGUGGGAGCUGGGAUCACCUGGGAUGCAGCACCUCAUUUUGGAGGUCUGGCCCACAUCAUUUGCUCCAAGAUGUAUACAACAGUUGGAUCCUUGUUUCAGGUUUACUGUUGAAAAAAGUGGGCUUGGAGCUGAUUUUUGUGGACUGAGACCUGCUCCCUGCUUGCCAGUCAUUAGCAAUUCUCUUCUGGGGUCUGGCUCAGGGUUUUAGCCCAUUUAACACUUAUGCUUUGUCCAUCCUCAAGGGUUCACACCCAACCAGGGUGUCACAGAGAACCAUAAAAAAUACCCUCUACCUUAACUGCAGCUUUUGGUCAUCUGCUAAACUCUUCUUCAGCAACUCACAUUGCAGUCAAAUUUCACUACAUUUGCCUGAGUUUUCUUUAGGAUGAAUUGCAUUUGUUUUUUGCUUCAUCUUGGGGAAAAUGAAUGCCUUGGAAAAGCCAAAUUCAUGUAUGACUACCUAUGAUUGUCCUAAUUUUGCAACUGCUCAGCUGCACUGUCUCUACCCACCAUGAUGAAUCUAAAAGGGAGACAGGGUGUGCUGGAUGGACACAUCCUCUGCUGGGAAAUUAUCAUCCAGCACACUUGGAAACUCUCAUGAGACUUGACUGUGGCCUGCAGGCAAUCUCCACAGAUGUGUCCCAGAAUUAAAUUCUCUAUGCAAAUACAGUUUUCUUUUCACACGUUGCAAAUGAGCCUGCAGAGAGAGACCCGUGCUGGGCCUUGUUUGAUGAGGCACUCAGGUACACACAGG
rnacentral:lncRNA from 1 species